AUUCAUAUAGUUUAUAAAAAACAUUUUAUUUUCAAUAAAAAAAAAGAAUUUUACACUUAUGAAUG
rnacentral:tRNA from 1 species